GACGAACGCUGGCGGCGUGCUUAACACAUGCAAGUCGAACGAUGAAGCGGGUGCUUGCCCUCGUGGAUUAGUGGCGAACGGGCGAGUAACACGUGAGUAACCUGUCCUUUUCUUUGGGAUAACGGCUGGAAACGGCCGCUAAUACUGGAUAUUCAGGCUGCAUCGCAUGGUGUGGUUUGGAAAGGUUUUUUCUGGGAUUGGGUGGGCUCGCGGCCUAUCAGCUUGUUGGUGGGGUGAUGGCUUACCAAGGCUUUGACGGGUAGCCGGCCUGAGAGGGUGGUCGGUCGCACUGGGACUGAGAUACGGCCCAGACUCCUACGGGAGGCAGCAGUGGGGAAUAUUGCACAAUGGACGAAAGUUUGAUGCAGCGACGCCGCGUGGAGGGUGUAGGCCUUCGGGUUGUGAACUCCUUUGUCUCGCGAAAAAGGCACAGUUUUGGCUGUGUUGAUGGUAGUGGGGGAAGAAGCGCCGGCUAACUACGUG
rnacentral:rRNA from 1 species